GACGGAGGAUGCAAGUGUUAUCCGGAAUCACUGGGCGUAAAGCGUCUGUAGGUGGUCAAAUAAGUCAACUGUUAAAUCUUGAGGCUCAACCUCAAAAUCGCAGUCGAAACUAUUAGACUAGAGUAUAGUAGGGGUAAAGGGAAUUUCCAGUGGAGCGGUGAAAUGCGUAGAGAUUGGAAAGAACACCGAUGGCGAAGGCAAUUUACUGGGCUAUUACUAACACUGAGAGACGAAAGCUAGGGUAGCAAAGGGG
rnacentral:rRNA from 1 species